rnacentral:lncRNA from 1 species
UUUUAGAAUUUUUCGUUGCUAGAAUUUGUCGUUACAUAUUUUAGAUUAUACAUAUUUCGUGUUCGGUAAAGAUGAUUGAUAAGGAAAAGCACCUUACGUUAUUACUUCGUUUCGACGAUGAAAUGAAUAGACAUUUAACUUGUAAAGUCAGUGAAAAUGAAACCAGCGUUGAUCUUGCGGCAGAGCUUGUAAAAUAUGGACUUAUAAAUAAGGCUGAUCAAGACCAAGUUUCAAAUAAAAUCCAAGAAAAUCUUUAUCCAA